UACGGGGGGGGCAAGCGUUGUUCGGAAUUACUGGGCGUAAAGGGCCAGUAGGCGGCCAACUAAGUCGGAUGUGAAAUCCCCAGGCUUAACCUGGGAACUGCAUCCGAUACUGGAUGGCUUGAAUUCGGGAGAGGGAUGCAGAAUUCCAGGUGUAGCGGUGAAAUGCGUAGAUAUCUGGAGGAAUACCGGUGGCGAAGGCGGCAUCCUGGACCGACAUUGACGCUGAACGGCGAAAGCUAGGGGAGCAAACG
rnacentral:rRNA from 1 species